ACUAGCCGAGCUUUAGGUCAGGGUUGAGUGUCCCAUUUUCUCUCUUCCUGGUAGAUCUUCGCGAUAUCGAGGCAGCGAUGUUCACGGCAGCUGGAGCGAUCGCCAAGCGCCUCGGCAGGCCCGCUGCCAGCGCUGUAAGUAUCAGGGCGAGCGCCACCGCCUCGGACUCCACCCUCGGCCAGGAGAAAUCCUCCAACAUCAAGGAGUUUUCGAUCUACCGCUGGAAUCCCGAUGGCAGCAGCAAUCCCCAGCAGCAGGUCUACAAGAUCGACCUCAACGAUUGCGGUCCCAUGGUGCUGGAUGCUCUCAUCAAGAUCAAGAACGAGGUGGAUCAGGGUCUCACCUUCCGGCGAUCGUGCCGGGAGGGGAUUUGCGGCUCCUGCGCGAUGAACAUCAAUGGGAAGAAUGCGCUGGCCUGCCUGACCAAGAUCGAGAAGGACGCUGCCCAGACGUCGGUGCUUCCGCUGCCACACAUGUACGUGAUCAAGGACCUGGUGGUGGACCUCACGAACUUCUACCAGCAGUACAAGAGCGUGGAGCCGUGGCUCAAGACCAAGACUAUGCUAGAGGCUGGCCAGAAGGAGCACUUGCAGAGCAAGAAGGAGAGGCUGAAGCUGGAUGGGAUGUAUGAGUGUAUCCUGUGCGCGUGCUGUACCUCUUCCUGCCCGAGCUACUGGUGGAAUCCCGAGAAGUUCUUGGGUCCUGCGGCAUUGCUUCACGCUCACAGAUGGAUUGCCGAUAGCCGAGAUGAGUACACGCGGGAGAGGCUGGAAGCCAUCGCCGGAGACUACAAAGUUGGGCGCUGCCACACCAUUCGCAACUGUGAGAACGCUUGUCCCAAGGGAUUGAGCCCUGCUAACCAGAUCAUCAAGAUCAAGGCGCUCCAAAACACCCUCUAGACGCCUCCAGAUCUUCGCUUUUUUCCUCCGGAAUAAGUGACAAGCGUUUCUUCGUCGAUGAAUAGCAAUAAAGUCCACUCAACUAAGGAGCAAAUGGUCAUAUUUCUUAUGGUUUUAUUUCGGCCACGAUGCUCGAAGAAAAAGUUUCAUUU